AUCUCAUCCGGUCCCAAAGCCAGCUGCCCUGCGGAGAGGAGCCGACCGGCACCGGGCACAUCUCUGGGAGGGCGAGGCUGGGAGAAAGGCAUUGAGCUAAAGAUGAGAAGAAGCGUUCCCUGGAGCCUGCAUGGCAUCAAUCAUGAGAAUGGAUGUUGAGGGUUAUGCACCCCACUGAGGCAGCACUGAAUGCCAGAUCCCAAGUUACAGAGGACACCGAUGGGAGGAUGUGGUGGUGAUGGUGGAGGCAGAGCUGUGAAGAACUGAGAGGCUGUUAGAAAACCGCGGUGGAACAGUGGCUGGGGAAAGACCUUGGCUUAGGACAUGAAUCCAGUGACCUGAGGUCAGCAGUUUCUAUCUGAACCGAAGCCAGGUUGACCUGGGGCCUGGGCAGGAUUGUAUUUGCUGGGGCUGCUAUUAAAAAGUACUGUGAACUGAGUGGCUUAAACACCAGAAAUUAUUCUCUCACAGUUCUGGAGGACUAAAGUCCAAAAUCAAGCUGUGGGCAGGGUGGGUUUCCCUGAGAGCUGCGAGCGAAGGAUCUGUUCCAGGCCUCUCUCCUUG
rnacentral:lncRNA from 1 species